rnacentral:tRNA from 1 species
ACCUAGGUGGCGAAAUUGGUAGACGCACCAGCUUGAGGGGCUGGCGCCCGCAAGGGUGUGGGAGUUCGAAUCUCCUCUUAGGUACAA